AGCUGAGAGAAUGAGAGUGCCAAGCCUUGGAGAUCUGCUUCGGAGGUCAUCUUUCAGACAUGCACCGCUGCUGUCCGUCCAGGAUCCUCCGGUUGCCCAGAUGUUGCACGAUGCUAAGCUGUCACAGCAGACCAUCCUGCAGGCCUCUGGUCUCAGUGUUUCCAGUGAUCUCACAGCUUCAGGAUGACCAGAGACCUUCACCUUUCUGGAGCAGGAACACCCGGCCAAAUGCACUGGUGACACAUUUAAUUUAAAAAAUGUGGCUGUUCUUAUAGCAUUGAUAUGCAAGAACCAUCUACUGUUUUUAAUAAUAAAAAAUAUAUAUAUUAUGAAAUCUGUGUUCCUUCUCAUCUGUGUAGUUCUAAUUUAAUCAAAUCUCAUGUUUUCACAUCCCAGAGACAAUAAGAUGGAUAGUUUGUUUGUGGCUUUAACCCAUUCAUUCCAAAUUUUUCCCAAACAUGUAAAUAUGAAAAUCCGAUGUCAUUGAUAGCCCUUUGAACUAAUCAGGGAAAUAAUUUUAAAAAUUGUG